CGGCAGGCCCCAAGGGAGGCAGGAAGCCAGGAAGGAGGCUGGCAGAGCUCCUUGCAGCAGAGCUUGUGCAAGGUUGGCACCACCAAACAAUCAGCCUUCAGCACCAGCUCAUUGAGAAGGAACAGCUCACUCACUACAUGCAUGUAUGGUUGAAGAUGUUCAGAUCUCUACAAGCCCUGUGCUGAAGUUUUCCUUUAGCUGAUUUUUUGAAAGACCUCCUGAUGGUUUUCCAGACCUUGCUACCCAUUCUCAAAGAAGCAGUGGGGGCAUGCUAUGCAAAUGAGAUGCAUAGUGAGAUUUUUUUAGUUUCUAACUGUUGAACCAAUUUCAGAUGUUCUGGGUCUAGAAAUCACCCAGAGAACGGCUAUCCAAAUCUACAACUCCAAAGGAUUAAAACAAAAAGAGAGGGGAGAAUAGUAAUUGAGCCCAUAAUUUAACAUCCCAAAUACCACCACUGAAGUGUCAAUCAAAUUAUAUAUUUAUGUAAGUAAGAGUGACAGUCCAAUUAUGUAAUAUAUGUGUUGCUUCAAGUAUAAUUUCUUAGGUGAGAUUACAGUUCGCUUUCUGCCUUUGGCAAGGAUAAGACUACUGUAUACUCUGGGUCCCAGGGAAUGGUCUGAAGGCAUACGAUACAGCAAUGAUGUGAUGCUAAGCAGGUCUCAAUCUGGUCAGUGCCCAGCUGGUAGAUGGUUUGGGAACCCCAUGUAUGCUGCCUAGAGCUCCAUGAUAGAAGAAAUGUGGCAUAUAAUAUAAUAAACAAGAAUGUAUUCCAUGUAAUAAUUAUAUAUAUGAAACAAUCUUCUCUAUAUAUAAGACUUAGGUGGUCCAUGGCAAAUGGUGUGUGGCAAGCCCUGCCCACACAGUACUUUACCAAUCGGAGGUAAGAGAGCAGGAGCACUGUGGUGAUUGGGCAGGGGGAAUUCCAUAUGCAGAUAGGGAAGAGGAGCCAGUGAUGGUUAAGGUCAGUUGAAAUGCAGCUGUUACUGGUGGGAAGAUUGUAGAGGAAAAAAGAAUCUAUAUAUAUAUAAAAGGAUAGUGGGCAGGGGUUUGCGAAGAGAGGGGUUGUGAGGGAGGAAAGAGUCCCUUCAGGAGAAAGAGGCUGCUACUGUGCAAAUUAGAUGAGAAAACAAGAUGAACACGAUCUGUUAACUCAGGAAGGAAGAGAAAGAGAAAGAAAUAAAAAAUAAGGGAGGGGAAUAAAGAGGCGAAGAGCGAGUGGAGGAGAGAGAAAAAGAAGGGAGGGGAAGAGAGAAAGAAGGAAAGGCAAGGGACGGGCCUGGGCUUGUCAAAGGCCUGAGGGAAAUGAGUGGCCAUGGUGGCAGUAGCGGCAGCGAGGAAGGACCUGGUCAACCAUUGCAGCUGCUUGGAGAAACAGAGGCCAUUGGCUGAAGGAGGCAGGCAGGUGAGGGAACGGGCCUUAGUCUGUCAGCGUCCUGAGAAGAAUGAGCAGCCAUGGAGGAGGUGGCAGUGAGGAAAGGCCCGGUCAAUUGCUGCUGCUACUUCUGCGGGGAGGAGCAGGGCUCGGGUGAGGGU